rfam:Trichobilharzia regenti genome assembly, scaffold: TRE_contig0000058
GUACUGUUGAAGAGUCCCAAACUAGGACGAAAUAGCUGUCCAGUAC